CACUUAAAAAAGAGUUGCAUAGAAAAUCUGAUACCUUAAAUCAAAUUUGCUUGACCACAAGUUCAAUAUUCUUCCUUGAUCCUGGCCCUUUACCUCCCAUAAAGGGACAGUGACGAGUAAUUCAACAUUUAAAGAUCACGGGUAAGAUAGAACCUGUCGAAGAUCUAUUGUCUGCUCGAGUUUUUACUAGUCGUGCGUCAAAGGCAUUCCGUGUUCAGUGUGGUUCAGCUUUUCUGAAGUUUGUACUUGUAACGUGGCAACGUUUGCCGUGCUAUCUAGCCUUUGGUUACCUUUUUGUGUAUGUUGUAUAAUUGUUAUUUUUAAACUUCUAACGUUAUUACUUUCACGUGUUAGUAGUCUAUUUGUAUAUUGUCGUUUAUACGUUAUUAUUUGCUAUUCGUUAUCUUUGCAAGAGCUUAAAGAAUAGAUAAUUGCAUAUGGCCUGCUAAUGAAGUUAAUUGUCUUUGCAUAGUUGCAUCAUAUAUUCAACGGACUUGCUAAUCUCAGUUCUUAUAGUUUCGAGCAAACUCUUAAAGGAAUUUGCUCGAAGGCGUGGUUUCUUGUUUGCAUAACAGUUUUAGAGGCUCAUUACAGAGAUCAACCUUUAUGUAUUGCAUGAUGGUAUUUAUAUUAUUUUAUAUAUUUUGAAGGUCUUCUGUUGUUUUGCGAUGUAAUUUUAGAGACCAGAAUUUUAUUUAUCUAGGUAUGUGCAUCUUAU